rnacentral:lncRNA from 1 species
UGGCAGAGCUGAGACUGACUCAGGCAUGUUUGAUACUAGAAUCUGUGCUCUUAAUGUCUACCAUCUAUGGCCUCCAAAGAGGCAGUAAUAACUUGUUGCAUGGGGCUGGGGUUGGGGGGAGGAAUUUCUAAACUGGUUCCCUAAGCGACCCCCAGGAGACAUGUGGCAAUAUCUGGAGACAUGUUUAGCUGUCCCCAUUGGGAAGAGGAACGCCACUGGCUUCUGGUGGGUAGAAGUCAGGGAUGCUAAUAAGCAGUACACAGUCUGGGGCAAGCCCCUCCUAGCAAAGAAUUAUCUGGCACAAAGCAUCCGCCCUGCCAAGGUCAAGAUGAACUGCUCUAGGCCUAGCCAAGAAACAUCCCCUUUAUCACCAUGCACAGAAGGUAAGGAAAAAGUGCCUGUUCUAGGGAGUUCCCAUUGUGGCUCAGUGGUUAACAAAUUCAACUAGGAACCAUGAGGUUGGAGAUUCCAUCCCUGGCCUCGCUCAGUGGGUUAAGGAUCCGGCGUUGCCGUGAGCUGUGAUAUAGGUCACAGACACAGCUUGGAUCCCAAGUUGCUGUAGCUGUGAUGUAGGCCAGCAGCUACAGCUCUGAUUAGACCCCUAGUCUGGGAACCUCCACAUGCCUCAGUGCAGCCCUAGGAAAGACAGAAAAAAAAAAAAAGUGUCUGUUCUCAAGGGAUGGCAUCCCAGUUUUUAGAGCUGUGGGCACAGGUACAUCAUAGUACAUCUCUGCAUCUAAGAGUUACUGGCUUAGGUACAAAACAGACCUAAGUUCCAAUCCCUGUUCUGUCACUUUCUGUUUUUCUUUAGGGCAACUGUUUACCCUCUUAAACCUCACUUUUCUCAUCCCUCAAAUGGAGAUAUUUAUUCCCUCUCUUGGGAUGACUGGGACACAGUAAGUGCACAGUUAAGCUUUCCAGCCAUCCCUCUGUUGUCUCUCUCUCCAUUUAUAAGCAUCUCCAUCUCCCUGUCCAUUACGUGUGGCCGGGUCUACUCCUGGCUCCACUGUUAAUGCUGACAGGAUCCAUAGACUGUCAUUCCUAGACUGAUGCUCAGUGUCUCAAAUGCACAGGUGAUGGAGUAAGAAAAGUGCAUCCAAAGAGAAGCAGCCUGUAAAAGAAGGGCUGCCCAUGUGAAUGCAGGAGGCGGAGUGGUGGGAGCAAGAGUCCAGGAAUCUUGGCUCCCAGCCAAGGCAGCGACUGCAGUGGACUCUCAGGGUUGGCUGGUUUUAUUGUAGAAUAAAUUGUUGCUCUAUAAUGUAAAUGGAAAAUUAACUUGUGUAACCAAUCAUAGAACCUCUGUGAUUCUUUGUGCAAACAUUCCACUCAGAUAAGUUGAAGAUUGAUGUAUUUUCUUUUGAGAGACCUUUUCUGGAGUAGGCAGAGUGGGGAAAAAGCAUGCAAGUUGAAGAAAGAGGGAGGGGCACUUAGGUAGAGGAAUUUCCUUGAUGGAAAGCCCCCCCCCAAAAAAUGUGUAGUUGGAAAAAUGCAGCGCUGGGUUCAUAUAGCCUAAGUUAGAAUGCAAGGUUCCAGGUAGACUGCUGAGAGAGUGACAUUAAAUAUGCCUUUUUCCUUCUUUAAGAAAAGAUCAUUAUCAUCUUGUGCACAUUAUUUAUUUAUUUAGGUCAGUGUGAGGAUGGGGAGAGGAGGAAGGAAAACUGAAUGAGGGAAGAAGAUUCCAAAUAAGACCCCUGAGCUUUAAGCUUUAUGCUGCCUACAGAAAAGAGAAAAGCUGAUUAGACGUCACAUCUUGCAUUCUGAGCUUUCCAAAGAACCUUCCACUGAUGUGAGUAAAAUAAUCCUCUUCUAAAUACAGAGAGAUUUCUUUCUGUGGUCUCCCAUUCAGAGGACAUGAGGUAGGUCAGGAGAGGACCAGUACCCUUGAGUAUUACCCAUUUUGAUUUAAGACCAUGUUUAGACACCUGAUGUAGGAGAAAAAUAGGACAAAAACUUUUCUCCUGCUUGGCCAACCCCAAAGGCAUGAUUUCGGGGGCUGACAUUCAGGCCAUUUUAUGCUACUUUCCCAGGUGGUACUGCCGGCUUGUUCUCACAUCAUCCCAGAGAAGAAGGAAGAGGGAAGGGGUAGUUUCUGCACUUGAGCACAAGUGGACCGUGAGGGAGUAUCACAACCUUGCUCAAGUUAAAGCUCCAAGGUCAGAUCAAGGGCUGGAGCCCGCAACCCAGAAUUCUGAACCAGGCUUCUUUCCAUUGUGGUGUUAAAGCCCUUGGACAUAACUGAGGUGUGAGGACAUCUCUGUAAUAGGAACUUCUGAAAGCUGGUGGGUGUUAAAAUGUGCAUACACACAUAUACAUAUAUAUGUACAUAUGCAUGUGUAUCUACAGAUGCACAUUUAAUGUCAGUAUAAGUGGAUGGGGAGAAAAAGAGCGGGAUAGUAAAUCUUCUGAGGGUUUUUUUUUUUUUUUUUUUUGGUUUCUUUUGUUUUGCUUUCUUUUUAAGAGAAAUUGUUUUGCAGAUGUAGGCUCGGCAGAGCACAACGUAAAGGUCAAAUCUGGCCCAGCACCUGUUUUGAGAAAGCUUGAUUGGGAUUUGCCAUGCCCACCUGCUUACAGAUUGCCUCUUAGUUUUCACACUAUAGCAGCAGAGUUGAAUAGCUGUACCAGAGUCAGAGAUCAUAUGAUUUUUAAAACCUACCCUAGAUAUUGCUUGGCCCUUUGCAGUUUCCCAACCUCUAGUGUAGCCCCAAUAACACACUUCCGUGGGCUGAACUCCAUCUCCUGGAUUCCAGCUUGCCGUUUUGGGCCCCUCGGAGACCCUUCCUGUCUCAGGCCCAUGCUCACCCCCUCUGCUCUUUUUUGGCUCUUAGUAGCAGUUCAUGGCCAUUACUUCGACCCCUGGGUCUCAAACUUGAAUCUGCAGGGCUUGCUAAAAACUAGGAUGAUCAGCUCCACCUCCAGAUUCAGUAGGUCUAGGUGGAGAAUGAGACUCUGCCCGGUCAACAUGUUCCCUGUGGAAGCUAAUAUUCUUACUCCAGGAUCACACACUGAGGCCCAAGAACCCAGCAUCAUGCUGUGGGGAGGCCUCCGUGCGCCGACUCUAUCAGGCUGGUGACCAGGGGAGAGGGGUUGGCCAAGGGAGAGGAAUGAAUUCUGUAGAAGGCCUAGCACAUACUCACUGAGGCACUGCAUGGCCCGCACAGGGACGUGAGGAAUUCUCUGGGUCCUCAGAGUCCUACGGAUUUGCGAUGUUUCCUGAGUUAGAAGAAUAUCCCUUGGGAUUCAUCCAGGCCCAGCUCCGUUGGCCUGAAAAAAGGCUCCAACUAUAUUGAAGUGCUCAAUACAGGCGGACCUCAUUUUCUUGCCCUUCACUUUGUUGGGCUUUGCAGAACUGUUUUUUAAUAAAUACCUGUUACAGUGUUUUUGGUGUUACUAUUGCAAAAAGAUUAGGAUUAGGAUUCACUGAAGGUGCAGAUAACAGCAUUUUUUAGCAGUAAGUAUCGUUUAAUUAAGCUGUGUACAAGUUUUUAGACAUAAUACUAUUGCUCAUUUAAUAGACUAUGAUAUAUUGUAAACAUAAUUUUUGUAUGCACUGGGAACCCAGCACAUUCGUGUGACUCACCUUACUACAUUAUUCACUUUAUUAUGGUGGUCUGGAACCACAUCUGAAAUAUUGCCAAAGUCUGCCUGUAUUUCCCUUGUCACCAUCAAGAGGGGCCAUAGUCAGCAACCCUGCACUUGUGACAGGCACAGGAACCUGCCCUUCAGUCCUGGAAAGCCUUGUUUUCCCAGCUGGUCUUCUUGAUCGGAUCAGUCUCUUAGGGGGAUGAGAGCAUCCACCCAUAACUGGCCCAACCCAAGGGUCCCUCAUAGCCACAUCAACCUGUGCCUAGACUAGAGGGAAUGAGAAGACAAAAUUCAGUUGGCUAAAUGCAAAUUUUCUUUUUUUCUUUUUAUGGCUUCACCUGUGGCAUAGGGGUCAAAUUGGAGCAGCAGUUGCUGGCUUACGGGCCAGCCAAAGCAACACCAAAUCUGAGGAUCAUCUGCAACCUAUGCCGCAGUUUGCGGCAACCCUGGAUCCUUAACCCGCUGAGCGGGGCUGGGGACCUAACCCACAUCUUCACAGUACUCUAUGUCAGAUUCUUAACCCACUGAGAACCCACUGUUCUUGACAACGGGAACUCCAGAUUUUAAGAAUAGCAAUAGACAGAAGAAAAAGCAAAUCAGCUCCGAAGUUAGGUGAAUAGCCUGCAUGCAGUUCACAGCUAUUUUGAUUUCUCCAAGCCUCAGUUUCUUUAUCUGUGAUAAACAACUAUUGCUAGAACCUUGAAGGCUUGUCAGGAGGGUUAGAUGAGAUGUUGUGUAUGUAGUAAAUGUUACCUGUAAAUCUGGCUUAUAAAUCUCUCCACUGCUGUCUCUGUGGCUAGGCGCUCCUGAGAAUAGUUACCUUGGCAGUCCCGAAGGAUGAAAGGCCUUUGGAAUGCCUGUGGGUAGUACCCGGUGGCUGUGUUUGGGCUCUGCCAAAGGAUCCCGCCAAGAAACAUCCCAGUUUUCUCUGGACAGCUGUUUUCAGCCACGGAUAGACUAUAACCUUCUUUCAUUCUUGAUAUUUCCGGUUGCCAGUAACAUGGCUCCCCUCUUCAAAGCUUGCCGAACCCCUUCUGUGUGUCUUCUUUCUGGCUGAGCUCCUAACAGCCCUUCCUUCCGCAGCCACCGCAGCUGUGAUGAGCUGAGCAGUGAGGCUCCUUCCAGCUUCAGCCCGCAGCCAGGCUCUGCAUGUGCCAUUUAAGGGAAGAGGAAUGUGGUUCCUGCCUGAUGAAUCAGGGGCUGCUACCUCGGAGCAGGGGUGCUAAAUAAUUCACCUCAGCAGCCUGCCCUGACAUCCAUCUGGGCCUGGCCCCUGGUGACCCUGCAGACACACCAGCAGGGUUCCCGCUGGCGCUGGUGUCAUGGGGAGCAAGACGAAUAAGCCAGGCAGCAGGCAAAUCGCCCUGGCUGUCAGGGGCUCUGCAGGCCUCAUUGUAUGCAGAACGCAGUGUGUGCCGACGGGCACUCCAGUCGGAGGGCGUGGGGUGAUGCCUCACCAUCCUGACUGGGCACAUUUACACUCAGACCCAAUGAACGUUUUUUAAGAACCUGCCAUGUGCUUGGCAAUAUUGUCGGUAUUAUCUCACGUAAGCUAGAAAGUCUGUGAGGCAGAGACUGUUGGAGGAGGCUCGGAGAGAGAGAGUAACUUGUCCCACUGCACACAGCUGAUAAUAAGGUGCAGAGUCAGGGUUUGCCCUUGGACCUGUGCCACCUGGCAGAGCACCUGUUAUCCAGAGCCCCCCGCCCCCGCCCCCCAGUGCGCGCCCCUUUCAGGCCAUCAGGAACAUGUCCCUCUCCUCCAGACACUGGCCCCCCUGGUGGUUCAGACUCCCACAUGUUAGGCCACACGUUAGACCAAAUGGUAUCCACUCCUCUGAAGGGAAGCAUAUUGUGGUGUAUAAGUAAACCUCUCCCACUCCUUGUUUCAGCUGCAGUUCAAGCUC